AUUGAACGCUGGCGGCAUGCUUUACACAUGCAAGUCGAACGGUAACAGGCCGCAAGGUGCUGACGAGUGGCGAACGGGUGUGUAAUGCAUCGGAACGUGCCCAGUCGUGGGGGAUAACGCAGCGAAAGCUGCGCUAAUACCGCAUACGAUCUAUGGAUGAAAGCGGGGGACCGUAAGGCCUCGCGCGAUUGGAGCGGCCGAUGUCAGAUUAGGUAGUUGGUGGGGUAAAGGCUCACCAAGCCAACGAUCUGUAGCUGGUCUGAGAGGACGACCAGCCACACUGGGACUGAGACACGGCCCAGACUCCUACGGGAGGCAGCAGUGGGGGAUUUUGGACAAUGGGCGCAAGCCUGAUCCAGCAAUGCCGCGUGCAGGAAGAAGGCCUUCGGGUUGUAAACUGCUUUUGUACGGAACGAAACGGUCCUGGUUAAUACCUGGGGCUAAUGACGGUACCGUAAGAAUAAGCACCGGCUAACUACGUGCCAGCCGCCGCCGUAACAC
rnacentral:rRNA from 1 species